rnacentral:lncRNA from 1 species
CGUGAUUUUAUAGUUUCUCACUUUGCCCCCCUGUGGUUUAAACUGUAUCAAUUUGGCCCCCCGUGGUUUCUUUUUCUCUUUUUCUUAUCAAUUUACUUAUUUUUUUUUCUUAAAUCAGUGAUAAAGUUAAAAUUAAAGAGUACUAAAGUGAAUAUUUGAUAAAUUUAGAUGGAUAUCUGAAGUUUUUUGUAUAUAAUUUAAUGAAAUAUUAACGAAAAAGCUACCGAAAAGAUAAAAACGAAACCAUAGGGGGGCAAUUUGAUACAUUUUAAACCACAGGGGGACAAAGUGAGAAACUACGAAACCACAGGGGGGGUUUUGAAGUUUUCCCAUAUUUUUAUAUUUAGUGGGAUAUAAAUGAUGUUUAAGUGUUUAAAUGUGUAUUUAUGAUAUUUUUAACUUUAAAGGAUUAUGUUUAUGGAUUAUAACCUUAAAAUUU